rnacentral:rRNA from 1 species
UGCCAGCCGCCGCGGUAAUACGGAGGGGGCAAACGUUACUCGGAUUUACUGGGCGUAAAGGGUCCGUAGGCGGUUCUUUAAGUUAGAUGUGAAAGCUUGAAGCUUAACUUCAAAAUUGCAUCUAAAACUGGAGAACUAGGUUCUUGGAGAGGUUGAUGGAAUUACCGGUGUAGUGGUGAAAUGCGUAGAUAUCGGUAGGAACACCAGUGGCGAAAGCGAUCAACUGGCCAAGUAACGACGCUGAGGGACGAAAGCGUGGGUAGCAAACAGGAUUAGAUA